GUUGGGUGUGGUGGUGCAUGCCUGUAAUCCCAGGGUCUUGGGAAGCUGGGGCAGAAGGAUCACAAGUUCAAGGCCAGCUGGGGCAAUUUUGUGGGGUGGGGAUGGUGCACACCUGUCCUUU
rnacentral:sRNA from 1 species